CAUCAUGAUCAGCUUAACCGGAGCAGCUCUGUUCUUGAUUCAGCUUUUAGUUGUGUGUCAAGUCUUUGCAGAGAUUCUCCCACAGAUUCCUUCAUUUGUCCAGAGGAAUAUCCUGGUGCCCAGGGGAGACUCCAUCAUUCUCACUUGCAACAUAUCCGAGGCAAAUGUAACGCAAAUCAACUGGACCAAAGGCAGAUCUGUUUUUGCUCAUUCAGUCUUACUCAAUCAGACUAUUACCAAUUUCACCUCUCACUAUGUAAUAGAUGUAAACUUGCCUUCAAAGCUGAAUAUUUCCAACGUUCAGCAUGAUGAUGCAGGACUUUAUAGAUGUAAUUUAACUGACAUAAAAGGCCAACGGACUAUUGAGUGGAAUUUAACGGUGUCUGAGAAACCGGAAGAGAUUCUUCCAUUUGACCAGAGGAAUAUCCUGGUGCCCAGGGGAGACUCCAUCAUUCUCACUUGCAACAUAUCCAAUGCUAAUGUAACUCAAAUCAACUGGACCAAAGGCAGAUCUGUUUUUGCUCAUUCAGUCUUACUCAAUCAGACUUCUUCCAAUUUCACCUCUCACUAUAUAAUAGACGUGAACUUACCUUCAAAGCUGAAUAUUCCUAACGUUCAGCAUGAUGAUGCAGGACUCUAUAGAUGUCAUAUAACUAACGGAAUUGGCCAACGGACUAUUGAGUGGAAUUUAACAGUGUCUGAGAAACCUGAAGGACAAAACAGUCUACCGUGGUAUUUUCCAUACAUACUGACAGCUGUAAUUGGAUUGCUUCUCUGUGUCUUCACUUCAGCUGUCUGCCUCUACAGAAAGCUCAGGGCCAGGACUUCAGACCAGAGCCCGGCCCAGGAGCAGUUUCAUCUUCAGUCUGAAACAGAGGUGGCCCUCCGUCACCCGCGGGGUGGUGCAGACAGUAGAGCAAACAAGCACAGGAGUCAGUACAUGGAGAGGCUCAAUUCCAUCUAUAAUCUCUGAUGAGAUGAUAAGAGACCGAUGGACAAACCAGGUGCAUCAGAGGAAGGCAACCGCAGAGAGGACAGCUGGGUCCCUGAUGCCUGUAGCUUACCUACUGUUGAUACAUUAAAACCAGUGCUGUCACUUUAAGGGAUUUGUUUUUACUUGUGUAUUUAUGGUACUCUGUGUGUUUUGAUAUGUCUUCAUGUAUAUGAUAGCUUUAUUAUAAGUGUGCUGUGCUGGUAUUUUUAUGUCUUUCCUGCAUUCUGAGCUCAGUAAGAAAAGCUGCUAACAAUGUUUCCUGUAAUUGCAAUCAAGUGAACUCAACAGGCUUUAAGUGGAGGUCAGUGCCCUCUAGUGUUCUGUGUGGGAAUUACAGGAGCUCUUUUCAUUGAAAAUAAAUGAUAUUUCAGAGACUACAGUCAAGUGCAGUUUUGUUUUUAUUCCAGUGAAGGACAUGAGUGAGUGCGUUCUCUGCUCUUUUACUACAGAUUCACAAGAUUAAUGCUGCAAGAGAGAGAUGGAAUAUUUCAUAAAUGCAUCAUGAUCAGCUUAACCGGAGCAGCUCUGUUCUUGAUUCAGCUUUUAGUUGUGUGUCAAGUCUUUGCAGACAUUCUCCCACAGAUUCUUCCAUUUGACCAGAGGAAUAUCCUGGUGCCCAGGGGAGACUCCAUCAUUCUCACUUGCAACAUAUCCAUGGCAAAUGUAACUCAAAUCAACUGGACCAAAGGCAGAUCUGUUUUUGCUCAUUCAGUCUUACUCAAUCAGAAUUUUUCCAAUUUCACCUCUCACUAUAUAAUAGAUGUAAACUUACCUUCAAAGCUGAAUAUUUCUAACGUUCAACAUGAUGAUGCAGGACUCUAUAGAUGUAAUUUAACUGACACAACUGGCCAACGGGCUAUUGAGUGGAAUCUAACAGUGUCUGAGAAACCUGAAGGAACCAGUCCAUCGUGGUUUGUUCUAUACACACUGACAGCUGUAAUUGGAUCGCUUCUAUGUCUCCUCACUCCAGCUGUUUGCCUCAGCAGAAAAAACUGGACCAAGACCCAAAACCAGGACCAGGACAGCAGGACCCUGAGUUGUGCCCAGUACCAGGCUCAGUUGGGAAGAGAGGUGGCUCCACUUCAGCCCCACAGCUGUGCAGAGUACAGGACAAAUCACCAGCAGAGGGAGUCAGUACUUCAGGAGGCUCAGUAUGAAGCUGAGUGAGAAACAAGACACAUGCUGGACAUAGAGUGCAACAAUACUGUUUUUAAACAAUACUUUUCUUUGUGUGUCAGUCUGGACAAGUUAUUAUGUGUAUCUUAACUCACUCAUGAUUGUGACUUCUGUGUUCCACAAUUAUGACGCGCUAUCUUAUUAGAGAAAAGGCUAUAUAAUAUGUGUUACACAGUAAACUGUGACUCAUCAGAUUCUGUGCGGCCAAAGCAACAUUUUUAUCAUACUUUAUCACAUGCUUUAUUUUGAUAGCCAGACAUGAUGCCAGGAGGGCGCGGUUUACCUGUACUGGAGAUACUUGUUACAUUUAAAAAUGUAAUAUUGAUAUAUGAAUUCUAUUUCUCUUUGCUCUGGCUUUGUCUCCCAUCUCGUUGCCUGGUCACUAUCUAUUAAGUGUAAAUGCUCUUUUUGUAUAAUUUUUGCAGUUAUGGUUACAGACUCUCUCUCCACCACCCUACACUCAUAUUUUGAGUUUGGUUUAUUUGCCAAAAAGAGGGACAAGUAAAGAUGAAUUUGACUGAUGGCAUUAUUAUUAACAUUGUUAGUAUUAUCAUUAUUGUUGUUGUUUCCAAAUGUGCUGUAGAUAUUGUGAUUAUAUUGUUAGCGUGAACCUUUUGUCCACAAUAAUUGCAUACUAAAAGUCUGAUAUGGUGCCAGCCUUAGGUGCCACCAUAGCAUUCAGGCAGGUGCACACAUUUUGAUUUGUCAAUUAUCUGACACUCGAGGGCAGACAGGCACACAGGAUAGUCAUCAACAUACUUUACAUUUUAGUGGAGACAAACAGAGGUCAUCUUGAUGCAUCCGCUCUUAAGAACGCUAUCAGUAAAUGUCAAAUCUGUGUUUGUGUUUCUGAUGGUCGUAUUUAAGGUACAUGCAUGCUUAUUAAGUUUGAUUUCAUCAUUUUUGGCUGAAUUAUUUUAUGCUGUGAUGUUAUGUGGCCAGCAGAUGGUGAUAAAGUUUGUCAUGAAUGUUCCACAAGCUCACUGUGGUGCCACAUUAUACCCACAAAGUAUGACUUAUAAAAUUAUAGCUGAUUAAAGUGUG